CAAACUACAACUCCUUAUUCAAUGUGUGUGCUGACACAUAAUGGCACAAACCACAGUUGAGGUCAUUUCCUGACAGAUGUUCCCCCUCAGGCACCUCAGGUGGUUACAGCAGGACUCUGCGUUGACUGUCCAACACAGUGCAUUAACAUUCCUGACGGUGGUCUGGGCCUGAAUGCAACACCUUCAAAUUACUGCAGAAACUUUUGCCUGUUUCACAGAUAAAUCCUGUUCGGUCUUUAAUUCAAAGCUGGAAACUCAGCUCUCAUCGCUGGUGAUGAUCCUCAAAGCAAAAGCUGGUCACUGCGAUACAGAAACUGAUGUUUGCUCUCUUUGGCAGGGCCGUGGUAAAAUUGCAAGGUGGUCAAGGUGUUCAAGAAAAGUACCUUAAGGAGAGAUCUCCAGAGUUUACAUAUGGAAGAGUCCAGAAUUGCUCCAAUCAUAGCAAACCACCAUCUAUCACACCAAACUGCACUUUCCAGCCUUGCAUGACACAAAAGACUGGAAACAUGGCCCGUGCCCCACCUCUCGCCCUGAAUUGGAUAAGCGGACGGACGGACAGACGGAUGGAUGGGAAAUGGGCUACCAUGUAUUCAAGGUGGCCUUGGUC